rnacentral:rRNA from 1 species
GACGAACGCUGGCGGCGUGCUUAACACAUGCAAGUCGAACGGAAAGGCCCUGCUUUUGUGGGGUGCUCGAGUGGCGAACGGGUGAGUAACACGUGAGUAACAUGCCCUUGACUUUGGGAUAACUUCAGGAAACUGGGGCUAAUACCGGACAGGUGCUCCUGCUGCAUGGUGGGGGUUGGAAAGUUUCGGCGGUUGGGGAUGGACUCGCGGCUUAUCAGCUUGUUGGUGGGGUAGUGGCUUACCAAGGCUUUGACGGGUAGCCGGGCUGGGAGGGUGAGCGGACACAUUGGAACGGAAAUGCGGCCCAGACUCCUAUGGGACGCAGGGGAGGAGAGGGGUGCACUGUGGGCGGAGGCCUAAUGUGGCGACGCCGCGUGCGGGGUGACGGCCUGCGGGUUGUAAACCAAUGUCGCCUGUGACGAAGCGUUAGUGACGGUAAUGGGGAAAGAAGCACCGGCUAACUACGUG